GACAGAGGUGCCAAGCGUUAUGCGGAAUCACUGGGCUUAAAGCGUGUGUAGGCGGCUCGUUAAGUCCCUUGUGAAAUCCCACGGCUUAACCGUGGAACUGCUCGGUAUACUGGCGGUCUUGAGCAACCUAGGGGCGAGCGGAACAAAUGGUGGAGCGGUGAAAUGCGUAGAUAUCAUUUGGAACGCCAAUGGUGAAAACAGCUCGCUGGGGGUUUGCUGACGCUGAGACACGAAAGCCAGGGGAGCAAACGGG
rnacentral:rRNA from 1 species